rnacentral:lncRNA from 1 species
AAAAAAAAAAUCUCAUAACCAACAACCACAGUUCAGAGCAACUCUAUUUGAAAGGAAAGGAACUAGAAAUAUAAAAAUGAGCGGAAGCUAUACUAUUGACUAUGUCUCUUCUCUAUGUACGCCCGACCUUAACUAUGCUAACCUGCAUACUGGGCAUUUUAAAAACGAAUGGGCCAGGGGAAAACAUUUGAAAAUGUUAGAGUGAGUGGACAAAAAUGAAUUUAAUGAAAAAUAUUUAUGCUUUCCCAAUUUAAAUUUCCAUAGAAAUAUCCUGCAUGCGACAGCUCAAAAGCUCUCAACUCAACAAUUGGCAAUUACAUGACUAGCUCCGGCUAGUCUCCAAACUUAAUAAAAUAAAGCCUCUCAGGCUACACUAAUAUAUAUAUAUAUAUGUAUGUAUUUACACUCGUCAUACUCCUUGUACUAUGAAGGAAAAAGAAAAAUAGAAAUUCAUAUAAGGCUACUACACUUGCGUCUAUUGCUCACGUCACACCAUAAUGAAAUUUUACCUCAUUAUGGCGGAAAAGCACGAGUGUAUAUACGUGUGGACUCCCUAUAUGAAAACCUAUAUGAAUCAGAUAAGAAAGUAGUUUUCAUAUAGGGCUAUGACGCUUGUCAGGACCCACCCCGAAUUUCACCCUGAAACCGGAAGUAAAUCCUACGGGGACCACCUCCAAGGAAAGUUUACCGAAAAUUCGGCGUAACCUCCCUUGAAAAUGGACAACCCUUCCUAAUAAUACCUGCAAACACUUUUGAAAAUCCAAAUCCAACCUUAAACACCUGGAGCCUUCGUGCUCCCCAGAUCACAACAUCUCCCAAUUUAUUUACUAACUUUAACAAGAAAAUCUCAUAACCAACAGCCACAGUUCAGAGCAACUCUAUUUGAAAGGAAAGGAACUAGAAAUAUAAAAAUGAGCGGAAGCUAUACUAUUGACUAUGCCUCUUCUUCAUAUACAUCCGACCUCAACUAUGCUAACCUGCAAACUGGGCAUUUUUAAAACGAAUGGCCCAAGGGAAAAACAUUUGAAAACGUUAAAGAGAGUGGACAAAAAUAAGUUUAACAAAAACGAGCAGCAAAAAAUCUUUAUGUUUUCCUAAUUUGAUUUCCAUAGAAAUUAUGCUGCAUGCGACAGCUCAAAAGCUCUCAACUCAUAAACUGGCAAAUGCAUGACUAGCUCCGGCUAGUCUCCAAAGCUUUAUAAAAUAGAGCCUCUCAGGCUAAAAUACAAAUAUAUAUGUAUGUAUCUACACUCGUCCAUACUCCUUGUAUGAAUUCUUAUGAAAAUAUAAGAAAAAUAGAAGUUCAUACAAGGCUACUACGCUUGCGUCCAACGCUCACGUCACACCAUAAUGCGGUUAUAUACUACGCCAUUAAGGUGGACAGACACAUAUGGCUAGCUAGCAUUUAUAUACAUACUCUCCUCAUAAAUAUCCUUAUACAUAUCCACCGAAAAUCUCAUUUUCGGUAACUCUCCAAAAUAAUGAAAAUUGCCAAUUACAAAAGAAGCUAUAAAUGUAUGGCCCCACCGAAAAAUCCUAUUUUGUAUGGCCUCAUCGAUCACAACACAAAAACAAAUGAUUCUUCAUCCAUACAAUCCUCAUUCACUUCCUCUCUACACAACUUCUCACCAUAAAUCACUAAGGGCACCCAAAAAUGGGUUUCCAUAAAUAUAAGUUUCCAAAACGGGAAAGUCUCCCUAAAUAGAAACUUUCCUAACAUGGUAGAUUUUACUAAACCAGAAACUACGACUUGAAUUAGAAAGAAUAACCUCGAGAACUACCUUCUUGGCUCUCUGCCGGAUCUGCUGCUUCGCUAUAACCCUCACUGGAUUUCGGUGACCUGCCGGAAUAGUUCGCCGGAUUCCGGCGACUUGCUAGAAUUUGGCCAUAGCCUCCCCGCAAACUCCAAAUCACCAAGUUAUCAACAACAACAACCAAAACAUUCACAUUAGCAGCCAUACUCCAAUUUUCUCAAACCCUAAUCAACACAGCAGCAACCCAACAACUCUAGAUGCAAGAAGAUUACCUUCAAAUGACAGCAAACCUUCUCCUGCCGGCAGUGGCUCUCUUGUCGGAUUCCGGGUUCGUGGUUCCUCUCAUAAAGCAGCAGCAACACCUCAAGUCUCCACACACGAUCGUUUUUGGCCUCUUGGAGCUCAGUAGGUCGUCGGGAAGGAGACAAGAGGUACCAUGAAGCCUCAUCGGCUUCAGCAAAACCCGGAGCACUCGCCGGAAACCAUCGGACGCGGGAAGAAAGGGGUUUCCAGGUUAGGGUUCGAUUCGCACAUUAAAUGACAUAGAAUGGGAGAGGGAAGUGAGGAGAACAAGAAUAUACCCUUCAAUGCCGCUUCCUCCGUUGGAGCUCGCCGAAAUGCGGCACAAACAGUGAAGUAUCCAUGCUUUCGAUCUCCCUCGAUUUCAGUCACACAUGCGAUCCACAGCUGGGCUAGAAAGGAGAGAAGGAAAGGAAGAGAACAGCUGACACGACCCACCCUGAAUUUCACCCUGAAACCCGGAGUAAGUCGUGCGGGGACCACCUCCAAGGAAAAUUUACUGAAAAGAUUAAGAAAAUCUCCCUUGCAGAUGGACAACCCUAACUCAAAAAUUUCAUAUUACACUCUUAAUUCAACAUUCAAUAUACAAUAAUCUCAAAGUAUUCAGAGCUACUAAACACAAGCGGAAGUAAGAAGACACGAGUAGGUUGAACAGGUAACCUACCGACGAAAACUGGCAGAAAUGCGGGUGACUAUGCCUCGUCUCCUACUAGAUCCAACCCGAACUCUGCAGACUGGGCAAUUUAAAAUGAAGGGCCCAGGGGAAAACAUUUAAUAACGUUAAAGUGAGUGGACAAAAAAAUAAAAUAAAAUAAUAAAUAAAAUAUUUAUGUUUCCCCAAAUUAAUUUCUAAGGAAAAAUCGAAUGCAUGCCGCAAGCGAUAAAACUUUUAUCCCAUAAAAUAUCGAGCCUCUCAGACUCUAUAAUAUAUGUAUGUAUUUACACUCGUCCAUACUCCCUAUAUAAAUUCAUAGGUCUAUAUAGGGCUACUACGCUCGCGUCCAACGCUCACGUCACGCCUUAAUGCGGUGCUACACUACGCCAUCAAGGUGGACAGACGGGUGUAUAAAUAUGUGUCCAUACCCCCUAUACGAAUUAAACACUCAAAUAGGGCUACUACGCUUACGUCCAACGCUCACGUCACACCAUAAUGCGGCUAUAUGCUACGCCAUUAAGGUGGACAGACACAUAUGGCUAGCUAGCAUUUAUAUACAUACUCUCUCAUAAAUACAUAUUAAUAUCCACCGAAAAUCCCAUUUUCAGUAGCUCUCCAAGAGAAAAUAAAAAUCGUCAAAUUAAAAUGACGUUAAAAUAUUCCGUAACAUUAAUUGUUCAACCAUGAACUAUAGCAUGCAUUUAUUUAAAAUAAACGUCCACUCACAAAUUAGGCCUAAGCCUGCUGUCGAUCUGGGGCCUCGUCUGCUCGAGUCUCCUCACGUCCUGUUCCAAAUAUAAUAUUAAUUUCCCAACCAAUAAUCAAAUAUUUAAUCAAAAUAGGCAAAAUUACCCGAGAGCCAUAAAUAUGCUCAUCAUUGCCUAACUUCGAUAUUCUUAAAUCGGAACGAUCCGAACUUAAAUAUCAUACUCAAUAGUCGUAAAUACAACCUCUCCAAAAUACGACUUAAAUCCUACGGCCAGAUUCUACAUUAAUUAACCGCCAAAAAUACCAAACUUCGGAAAUUCACAAACCUAUCCAAAUCUCAUCCAAAAAUUCCAUAAAUCACAUCAAUAUACUCCUCUUAAUAUUCCACACUUAAAACCCUAAAAAUCUCCUAACCGGCGGCGGCGCCGGCGGCGGCUCUGCGGGCAGCGGCGGCCGGAGGCCAAUUCCGGCGACCUCCAAAACCUAUGAAAUUUUGACAGAAUAAUCCUCUCAUCAAGCUCUACAACUUUCCUAACUAGCACAAACACCAAUUCCAAGCCUAACUAGGGUAAUCGACUAAAAACAUCAAAAACGCCAUAAAACUUCCACCUCAAAUUUCUCCUUACCUAGCUCAAGAGGGAGUGAGUCCUUUUAGGGCAAGGCUGCUGGGUUGGAGGGCUACAAAACCGUACCAAGCUUGCCCGGAUUGGUGGCCGGAGGAGGAAGUUCCGGCGACGUGAUCCCUAACACAGUCGGACCUCUCGGGCCCGAUAUCUCCCUCACGGCGGCGCUAGGGGAGCUGUCACCGAUCCAAGAAGGUUGCUGGGUUGAAGACCGAUCGAUUGGGACUGGUGCGGCGGUCUGGGGCGGCCGGACGGCGGCGGUCUGGCGGUCGAAAAACGGGACAGCGGGAGGGCUCGGGUGCGGGAGCGGGUGAGGAGAGAAAAUCGGGAGGAAAAAGAAUGGGUUUGGGCCUCACACCCCAAACCGGUCCAUCACUUAUAAACUAUCCAAAUUCUAAAAUUAAACACCCCGAAAAAUAAUACCUGAAUAAAAAUUACCUUUUACUAGCUAAAAUUUACCAUUUUUACCGUCGUCGUAUUUUCCUCAUACGAAUAAUCCUCCGCACAUAAUCGUCCCCAAAACCCCUCUAGGGACCAAUUAAACUAUUUACUCAAUGAUCGAGACGGUAAAAUUCUUAUUAUAAUCAGGCUAGUAAAUAAGGUAAAAAUAUAAGGGUCGGGAUGUGACAACAGCGGUGAUCUCGUCGCCUGGGGUGGCCGGACGGCGGCACUCCGGUGUGGAGAAGACGAAGAAGAGAAAGAGAGAGAGAGAGAGAAACUCGGUUGGGCUCGGUCAAACCCGACUUGGCUCUUUGACUGGGUCUGACCAGUCUUCCUUUAUUUAACAACAAAAAAUGGACAGUAGGUGAUCGAUGAUUAAAGAUCAACAACCCAUAUUCUUUGAUAAAUCGUAGAAAAAAACCCGAAGCUCCCAAAAAUAAUUCGAGGACAACAGAGAACUCGUGUCGACGCACACUAUGACCUAGGAGCCUUAAAAGAAGAAUUAAACAUUUUGAGAAAAACUCGACAAUAAACUCGAGUGUUAAAUUACCAAAUUACCGAGCACGGUUCAAUUCCUCAGUAACUCGUGGAAUACCUAGUAAAUAGAUAAAAUUGGGUCCGGGAUGUUACACCCGAGCCUGGGAGGCUCACUUGUAUGGCUAUAGUUGGUUCUUAUUUAAUAUUUAUUGUCUUGACUAGCGGGGCUAGUCCAUCUUUUCGAUAUUUCAUUUUACAAAGGUCUUUAUGUACCUUUAAUGUUGUUUUUGACUAGCGGGGCUAGUCCAUUAUUUUGGUACAUUUCUUUUACGAAGGUUAUUAUUUAUUUUUGUCGUUAAUUUGACUAGCUGAGUCAGUCCGUUUUCUUGGGAUUUUUCUUUAUGAAAGUUUUAUCAACACUUGCAUGCAACGGAUUUCUUAAUUAUUGGAAAGUGGGAAAGUAAUUAAUUUUGGUUAGUUAUGUUGCGAUCAAGAUGGUUGAUUCCACAGCCGGUUUCAAGAUGCUCAGCUUUCUGGAUGCCUACUCAGGAUAUAACCAAAUCAAAAUGCACCCCACAGAUCAAGAACACACCACUUUUGUCACGGACAAGGGACUGUAUUGUUACGUGGUCAGGCCCUUUGGCCUGAAGAAUGCGGGAGCAACUUAUCAGAGGCAGGUCAAUGCCAUGUUUGAAGAAGAAAUUAGGGAAGUCAUGGAAGUCUAAGUGGAUGACAUGCUGGUCAAAAGCAAGGCAGCUGACGACCACAUUGCCAGCCUAGACAAAGUCUUCACUAAGCUCCUGGCCCACGGGAUGCGCCUCAACCCCCAAAAGUGUAUCUUGGCUGUUAGUGGCGAAAAGUUUUUGGGUUUCAUGGUCAGUGAAAGAGGCAUUGAAGCUAACCCAGAAAGAGUACAAGUCAUACUUGACAUGACGAUCCGAAGGACUCGGAAUGAGGUCCGAUGCCUCACGGGACGCUUGGUAGCCUUGGCUCGUUUCAUCUCCCGCCUCACAGACAAAUGCAACCCAUUCUUCCAACUACUAAAAACUCAGUACAAGGAGAAUGUGGCAUGGGGCCCGGAACAUGACGAUGCCUUCAACAAUAUCAAACCCUACCUUGCAGCAGUCCCUCUUCUCUCCAAGCCUGUCUCAGGAGAAGUACUUUACUUGUAUUUGGUUGUUUCCGCCACGGCCAUCAGCGCUGCUCUCACACACCAUGACCAUGACAAUGAGCUCCUUGUAUACUACUGUGGCAGAGGGUUCACGGAUCCCGAGACCCGGUACCCUGAUAUUGAGAAACUAGCUCUAACCCUCAUCAUAGCAGCCAGAAAACUCAGACAAUACUUCCAAGCUCACACCAUCCAUGUCCUAACCAAUCACCCUUUGCGGCAAAUACUCCAAAAGCCUGAAACUUCAGGGCGCAUGGUAAAAUGGGCAAUUGAACUGGGGAAUUUAACCUACAUUUCAAACUAAGAACAGCCAUAAAAGGACAGGCUACCGCGGAUUUCAUUGCUGAGUUCAUCCCCAUGAACCCAGACAAUCCAGACCCGGAAGCCCUCCCUCGGGACGCCAUCUGGGAACUCCACGUUGAUGGAUCCUCCAACAACAGGCUCAGUGGAGCAGGGAUAAUAAUCACAGACCCAGAAGGGAAUUCGUAUGAAUAUGCUCUCCGGUUUGAAUUCAAAGCAUCCAACAACAUAGCUGAAUACGAAGAUCUCAUAAUCGGCAUUCAGCUCUGUCGAGAACUUGGAGCCCUGCACAUCCACAUAUUCAGUGAUUCUCAGCUUGUGGUCAAUCAAGUGGCAGGAGACUUCAAGGCCAACCAAAACAACCUGAGAUCCUACAAAAGUCUAGCUAGCACCCUCCUACAACACUUCACAUCUUACAAACUCACACAAAUCCCAAGGGCCAAGAACUCCAAGGCAAAUGCUCUAGCAAGACUCGCCAUAGCCCCUCCCGAGUCCACGCCACCAGAUGUGCACAUAGAAAUCUUGGACAAGCCUAGUAUCUCGAAGGCUUAUUCCGAAAUCUUUGCCCUCGAAACGUCUAACUAAACCUCGUGGAUGGACCCAUAUGUGGCCUUCUAAUGGUACCUUGCCCCGGGGACAAACACGAGGCACAGCGGUUGCGCCACAAAGCUUCACUCUACCUGCUUAGAGGCAGGAAGCUAUACCACCGUGGUCAGUCGUGUCCCCUUUUAAGGUGCUUACCUACAGCAGAAGGGCACAAGGUGUUGAAAUCACUCCACAGUGGUGUCUGUGGAAACCAUGCGGGAGCUCGGAACCUCAUGUUCAAAACACUAAGAGCUGGAUACUAUUGGCCAACAUUAGAACAAGAUGCUAAGGCAGUUGUCCAAGCAUGCCUUCACUGCCACAAAUUUGCAAAUUUUGCCCACCGUCCUCUAGUUCCAUUAUCUGUCAUCAUUUCCCCAGUCCUUUUCAGCCAGUGAGGACUCAACUUCGUGGGACGGCUAUCCACAGCCCCGGGACAACUCAAAUUUACAAUUAUCAUUGUGGACUAUAACACGAAGUGGAUAGAGGCAGAACCCCUUGCCACAAUCACAACUGAAAAGGUGAUAAACUUUCUAUGACGCAAUUUAUACUGCCGGUUUGGGGUACCGCAAGCCAUCAUCACAGAUAAUGGAACACAAUUUGACAAUGACACAUUCAGAGAAUUCCUUUCUAAGCAAGGCACUGCAAUCUUCUAUGCCUCCCCAGCACACCCUCAGACCAAUGGCCAAGUGGAAGCCAUAAACAAGCUCAUCAAGCAAAAUCUGAAGAAACGCCUGGAAGAUGCUAAAGGGUUAUGGGCGGCUAAGCUCCCGGAAGUCCUCUGGACACUUCAUACCACCCCAACAACAGCUACAGGUGAAUCCCUAUACCUCUUGUCCUAUGGCACCGAGGCGGUGAUCCCUGUGGAAAUGGAGGUCCCGAGUGAACGUGUCACAGCAUACGAUCCCGAGACAAACGCCACGGGACUACGACUCAACAUGGACCUCCUCGAGGAACGCCGGGAUAGAGCACAUCUCAAGAAUGUCAACUACAAACAAAAAGUUGCCCGACACUACAACAAGACAGUUAUUUCCCGCCCUCUAAAGGUGGGUGACUGGGUCAUGAAAGAGGUCAUCCCUCACCCCACUGGACUCAAGGCAAAGUGGGAAGGCCCACUGGAGAUAGUCAAUGCCCCGAGACCAGCUACAUUCUAUCUCCGCGACACUGAUGGCCGAGUCUUACCUCGCCCUUGGAAUGCUCGCCACCUCCACCUCUACCCUGUUUAAAUAAUCAGCACUCCAAAGCCAACAUGGCAGCUAGCACUUCAUUACUUGUGUACUUUAGCCCGGUAGCGGCCCAAAUCAAAUGUACACCUUGCCCAUCAGCGGCCUAUCCUAAAUAAAGAUGCUAUGUUCUCUAUCUUUUUUAACAUACUGUCCCAAGAACACGACAUAAAAUAACAACACAAGAUAAACCACGAAUAAAGGCAUUUUAAGAUAGUGUCAGCCUAGACUCCUAGGCAAUCCAUAUAUAACAACUUGUUCAAAUGGCUAACCACGCCACCAAUAUUGUUUCCAAAGCAAAAAAGAAAUUAAAACCUAACAGGAACAACAAAGACUAAACAAAAAAAAAACAACUACUUCUCCCCGGAAGACGCCCCACUUGACUUGUUCACGCUCCCGCCACUCUUCGACCCACUGCCACGCCCACGGCUCUGGCUGAUGUUCACUGAAACCCUCUGACCAUAAGCAUGUUUAGAACGGUCACGAGAUAUCGGGGGGAGGGGGGGGGGGGGGCGGGGGGGCUCACGGAGACAUUAGGACUCACCAGGGAGCUCACCGGUGGCACCUCAGUAACAGGGGACUUGCUUGCUGGGAUCUUCUGCACUUCAAUACGAGGCGGUGCCACAACGCCCCGUGCUCAAAGGACAAAGGGUUCAACAAUAGAUGACGCAACCUGAGACACUGCCACUUGAGCGGACAGGGAUCCCUCGUGACGUAGAGCCCUUAAGGGAGAAGAGGCAACCAUAGUAAGCAGCCGAGGCGUGCCCACAGCAGCAACUUCUUUGGGCGUCGCAGAGGAGGUGGCACGCCAGGUCUCAUGCUGCUUUGCUAGCGACCGCGAGAUCUCGGCUUGCUUCCUUUGUUCCGGAGUCAUCUGCUCCUAAGCCUUCCUUGUUGCAUCCCUCUCGGUAUAAAACUUGCGCAUAGCAGCCUCAUUUAUCCAACCAGCUUGACAGCCAGUCUUGCUUAGCUCAUCCUGACCACGGUUAUAGGCACUCUUCAGUUGCUGCUUGUACAAGUCGCUUUUCUGGAACACCCUUCCCCAGCCCCGGCAGCUCUUGCACACUUCAACUUCCACACCUUCUCUUGCUCUGCCAAGGCAUGGUUCAACCUUGCCACCUCAGCCUCCAGAGAAACAACCUUGGCAGCAGCCACCUCCCCGGCUUCCACCUGCUUGUCUUUCUCUUGCAUACCUUCCUUCAGCUCAGCCACUUCCUUCCCAGAUGCAGCAGACUGGUCUCGGAAGACAGCUACAUCCUGCUCCAGCUGCUCCAGACGCUGUGAGAGGGCGUGAAUGUUAUCUUCGGCCUCCCUUAGCUGUUGGCAUUUAGCCUCAGCAUCACCCUGCAAAUGGGUAACCGCCCUCUCACUAGUAGCGUACAUAAGCAGUGUCGCCUGCAAACACGAACCAACACAUAAGUACAGAGAUAAAAAAAAAAAAAGACAAAAAGGGUAAUGCACACCAUGAACACUUACCCGAGCAACUUCUCCCUGGCAAGAGACACGCCAGCAAAGGGAUCAACCUCCUCCAGGGCAUUGAUUUCGCGAGACCGGUGACUCAUGUAAUACGCCAUUUGUGCCAAGUAAGACUGCACCUCCCCUGUCCCCUCCAACGCUUGAGUGAUCUCAGCCAGGCUCCUAGAACUCCCGGAAUACCCUUUCUUCGGGGAUCUUUUUGCUUGACCAUCACGAGACGACUCAACCCUCUCCUUCCUCUUCCGGGUCUUCGUCACGACAACCUCUUCGGAUUCUUGCCCAUGGGGUUCCACCUCCUCUACCACAAGGUCCUCGCCGCCAAUUUGGGGCUCAUCCACUUCUUCCAAAAAUCCAUCUUCCACCCCAACUGGUUCCGGAACAUGCUCUUCUCCCACUGGAACCUGCUCGUGGUUGUCCCCAGGGUCGCCACCCUCAGUCUCUGUCUCCUCGUCGUUCACCUCUUGGUCACCCAAGCCCAUUACUUUUGCCACCAAGGGAGGCACAUAACCAUAGUCCUCGUCCGCCAGGUUUAACCUCACAAAGUGAUCCUCACCCUCGCCAAACUCCACCUCCUACCCUUCACCAGUCUCUAGGUCGAUGUCGAACCGCUUGGAGUGAGCAGCCUCGGCAAGCAACCCCUCCAGAACAUCCUAGUCAGGGACAUUGUCGUAAGGCCCUUCCUUCUUCCGCGACCCACCGUUCCGAGGCAUCGUCACUGCAUCAGACAAAGUAAGGAUCAAAACACAGGCAAAAAGCGUCAACCUAUGAAACCACUCAAAAGAAAAAUAUAGACCCGGGGCCCGGGAAUAACCGAAAUAACUAUAUAUGCCAAGACGGCAUAUCCGGUACGAACUCCUACACUCGAAUGCCCACAGCACCCGGCGUAUCCGACACUCCAUCAGCUCGGUUAAUUUAUACUCUUGGGGCACUACACAAAGUCAGCAGUCAGCAGGGGCAGAACAGUACAAACAGAAAGAAAACACGAGACACAAAGCAUGGUACCUAUUUUUUGAAACGCCCCGGGUACUCGGAAAGGGUGUCCAUGCCACUCCUGCCACUACCCCCCGACAAGGAAACACUUUCGUCGCCAACUCUCGUUUGUUGAGGUGGGCAAGUCUUCCACCAAAAUCUUGAACUUCCCCCGGGACUUCAACGUCACACAACCCCGGCUGCCCUUCUUCGCACAAUACGCCAUGUGCCAACACGCGUUGAACUCCUCAAAAUUGGGGAACUCUUGCCCCAGAAGAUGAAAUAAUACCCUUGUCCCCAAUAUCUGCCUUAGCAUAUUUGGGGUAACUUGCCCUGGGGCGACAUGCAGACACGCAUAGGUGUACUACAGAAAAGUGGGUAGCGGGAACAUUAACCAACAUCUCAAUUAGUACUCAUAUACCAGGGUGAAAUUGUCCAAAGGAUCCCAUAACCUAACACCCUUGCCAAGGGGCCGCAACAAGACCUCCUUGGGGAUACUCUAGUUCUCCUGAAGUGUCUUCACCUCUGAUGACAUCAUACUCUCGCCAGGGGGAUCCCAGAACGAGUCGUCAUCUUCCCGAGAUCUCGCCAUGCUAAACUCUUCUACCUCCUGGAAGAGAGGGUCAGAUAAGGACACGUGAGACCCUGCAUCCGUAACAGGCCGGAAUGCCCUCCCCUAAGUCGAGCACAACCUCUGCCAUAAGAUAAUUCACUUCCUCCUCCGACCGGUGCAAGGUGUCCGAAUCAGGAUCAGUCGAGCUAGAGAGAACCACAAUCUCCUCGCUGGUCACCCACACCGGAUCUGUCAUACCCUACAUCCUCACAUGUUAGGCUCUCGCUACCUUAACCCUAACUAACCCAACAGAAAACCAAACCAAUCCCUUCAUUCUAAACCCUCUUUAAAAAAAAAUAAUAAUAAAAUAAAAUAAAAUUGCAACUGUUGCAAAAACUGCAGCACAAUCCCUACCAAUUCAAAACAAAACAAAAGUAGAACCCAGAGAAGGAAUUGACAAGAUCAUACCUCGAAAACUUGGAUAUGUGUAGUGGCAGUGAAGCUGGUUGCAAACAGCCGAGCGCUCACACCCGAUGGAUCGAGGAUGAAAUUGGACGUUCCCCAGGUUCGAUUCCACAGAUCGACGAAACACUUCUCCAGAAAAUUGCAAACCACUCUUUUAGCCCUAGUCCCUCGGUUUUCGAAAUGCAAACUCCCUCCUUCUGUUUUCUCCAGACCUAUUUAUAUGCAUUCAAUUAACAUCGACCGUUCAGAUCUCCCUCAUCUCAAUGGUCAGGGAAUAGCCAUGUCGACCACGAUCAAGCGGCGCAUUUAAGACGCGCCCCACGAUCCCAUGCACGUGCGUCAGUUACGCACACGUUAACAAAAAAAAAAACCAACGAAACCGUUACGACCUUAAAACUUGCCAUAAAUGACCACGUGUUCCUUAUAAACUGGCCAUUCAUUUAUGACAGACAUGAGAUAUGACGCAAAGGUUCGUACCGAGUUCUCGGAACAUAACCCCAGCCACCUCGCGACCCUCGCAUGGGGACUUGGGGACUCGGCACCAUGCCUCUAGCUCCCGGGUAAGACAUUCUUGGCAUAACUUGCGAAUAACUCCCCACCCAAGAGCUCUCUCGGACUGGGGACUUUAGGACUUGUUAAUACAUAGCCAAAACACUUGACCAUGCCGAGAAUGCAGCGUCAUUGCCCACUCGCCAGAGGUCAUUCCGGCCAAACCAUCACCGGUAAGACUUCUGUGGAUGCCCAAAGAGUGGGAUAUAACAGCAAUACACAUGCCAGACCCACUCUGCAACGGCUAAACACCCCCAAAAGGGGGAAAACUGAACAACACCAUGAAACAGUCCCACAUCGGGAACUAAUGACAAAACCUCCAAUACUAGCCUAUAAAACAGGCGCGAUGUCAUAUCCCGACCUUUAAAUUUUUACCUUAUUUACUAGCUUGGUUAUAAUAAGAAUUUUACCGUCUU